UUUUCCCCCUUGGUACACUUUUCUGUCAUAUUCAAAACAUAAAUAGAAGGAUAGAGUCCUUGUUGGUCAAAAUAUUUUCAGUUAUUGAGAGAAAAUUAAUAUUUCCCAAUUUACUCCAUGUGAUAUGAAAUGGUCUCAAUCUGAUUUUUGGUAUUUCAACCAAAUAAUAGAAAAGGUGUUAUUUUUUCAGAAAAAAAUUUCCUAAAAAAUUUUUACAUGAAGUAAAUGAAGACAGUUUAUCAAGUAUCCCAUGUUGCAUGACAUCAAAAGCCAUUGUUUCUGCCUACUAUUUCAAUUCCUUUUUAUCUUCU
rnacentral:misc_RNA from 1 species